CCUACGGGCGGCAGCAGUGAGGAAUAUUGGUCAAUGGGCGAGAGCCUGAACCAGCCAAGUCGCGUGAAGGAUGACGGCCCGACGGGUGGUAAACUGCUUUUGUCAGGGAGCAAGUGGGUCCACGCGUGGGCUUAUCGAUAGCACCUGAAGAAAAAGCAGCGGCUAACCCCGUGCCAGCAGCCGCGGUACUACGGAGGAUGCGAGCGUAAGCUGGAUUGAUUGGGUUAAAGGGGUGCGUAGGCGGAAUAUCAAGUCAGCGGUAAAACUUCGGGGCUCAACCCCGUCGUGCCGUUGAAACUGCUGUUCUUGAGUGGGCGAGAGGUAUGCGGAAUGCGUGGUGUAGCGGUGAAAUGCAUAGAUAUCACGCAGAACUCCGAUUGCGAAGGCAGCAUACCGGCGCCCAACUGACGCUGAGGCACGAAAGCGUGGGUAUCGAACAGGAUUAGAUACCCCAGUAGUC
rnacentral:rRNA from 1 species